GGAUGUGAGGGCAAUUUGACUGUGUCAUCUGUCACCCCACUGAUCAUCAGGGUUGAUUUAGCUGAUCUGGCUGGCUAAGUGGGUGUGCCCAUCUUCCCUCACUAUGCCAUGUGCAUCCUUCUUGAAGCUGCAUGCUCAGUCAAAGAGGACGACCACCCCGGAUAGAAAAGGACUGUUUCCUUGGUCAAGGGUAUAUGAGUAGGUGUGCUCACCUGGAAGAACUUCAAAACAAGCUCUCAAAAAUGCCAUAAAUCUCUUUGAUAGAAUCCUUUUUUUUUUUGGUACUGGGGAUCAAA
ensembl:misc_RNA 7SK 7SK RNA